UGUGUCUACAAGACUGCGUGUCGAGGGACUUGGCGUCUCUGUUCCUCAUCUGUGGACUCCUGCGAGACUGUGCUCUCCAGCCCUGAUAAUCAACCCAAAAAAAAAACGAGGGGAGAUGUUUUCUCUCUGUUGCUCAGUGGGAACAGAAAAGCGCAGUGGGAAGGUCAAGGGUCCCCACUUAGCCCGAGGGAAGAAAAGCACAUGUGACACUGGAUCCUGGCAGGGCUAAUGUCAUUACUCGGCGACCCCCCCCCUCCCUCCGCCACCCUCAGACCUGCUGCUGGAGGUUCAGAAACCCACUUCCUGGUACUUCAUCUCAAGGUGCUUCUAUUCACACACCACACAAACAGGAAACAGUCCCCUUUCAUGUCCCUCACACUGCAUGCAGUUCAGAGUUUUUCUGAAAGGCUGCGAGAGAAAGUAAGGUACGCACAAGUCAUUCUCACCUGGUUUAGCUUGAUAUAAAAACCUUUGAAUGUUUGUCUUCUCUUCUCACCUUAUUAAAACUCACAUAUAGAACAGUUUUAAAGGGGGAAUCAGACAUUUGCUGAAAGUGGCAAACUAUGAAAAUAACCUCAUUAUACCACAUACAGAAAUAAUUGUUGUUGGCCAAAAUAGUCAUUCACAGACACAUACUGUAGGUUGUGAUAUCUCCGUAGACUUAUUUCUGUUGGGUAGUGCUCUGUAAACAGUACUGUCAACACCAAUCAUAGAUAUACAGAGUGUAACAACUCAUUGUAUUUAACCAUGAUUUACAGCUGGAGCCUCUGAGACCCCAAACAAAAUCAUGCCUGUGAGCAAUUCUCAUAAAAAUUUGUUAGAGUUAUUAAAUUAUAAGCUAAUAAAACAGUGUUAAGUAUGUUUUUAGCUCUUAAAAAGGCCCUGUAAUCUCCUGCUCUUUGCUCUGAUAAAACAUGAACCAUAGCAGUAAGGCCUUUUUUGCUUUUGCACUUGCUUUGGUGACUCGAAUUUGUACUACUGUGUACCAUAUUUUUUCACAGUGACUUCAGAGUACAUUUGUGUAACUACCUGUUGCAUUUUGGCUUCUGCUGCCAAGUUUGGUGUUGAUUUAUGCUUUAAAAUGCGAUGAUUUUAUUUGUAGUAUAUGGUGAAUACUCAUUGGUUUUGGUUUGUUGUUGCCGUGUUGUG